GCUGCGCCCUGGAGUCUAGCCUCAGACCUGGAGCUGACUUACCCUACAGGCACACACCCUCCCUCUCAGGGUGCCACCUGGGCAGGGCGGUGUUUCUGAACCGGCAGAGAAAUCAGAGUGGCCACCCCCGGGUCCAGGAGGCACGUCUGUGUGUAGCAUCCCACCCAGGAAGGCCCAGGCAAGCACACACUAGCGUCGAAGGUCCGUGCCCUCCGUGGGCCAGGCUUGCAGGUGAGCGCCCGCCAUGGGGAGGGGAGGGAGGGCUGCCCUGGAACCCAGCCAAGCAGGCUGAGAGCCACACCUGGGCGAGGCGGCCUGCGCAGAGCCGCCCGGCGUGGGCACUCGCGCUCUGAGGACGGCGGCCCGGCCCUGCCCUGGCCUGGCCUGGCCUGGCCUGUCCGCACCCUCAGCAGCAGGCCCGGGCCGGGCCGGGCGCGAUCGGGCGCGAGGACAGGCUGUCCCCGGCGGCGCACGCUCACCGUCGCACAGGAAGCCGGCCAGCCCCCAGAUGAAGUCGGAGCAGAGGUGGCAGAACGUGGGCUUGCACCCCUCUGCCUUCACCCUCUGAGCGCCAGGCUCCACCUGGAAGGGCUGUGACCAGGCCACAGUACUCACACUGCACUGACUUCAAGGAAGGGCAGCACCCAAGGACAAGUCAGGAACCAGCAAAGUGCACAGGAGACGUCACAGAAAGGAAGAACACAGCCAGAACUUUCCACUUCCUGAUGCAGCAUGUUAAUUAAAAUCGAGUACAAAUAAA